rnacentral:lncRNA from 1 species
AAAAAAUGUUUUUAAAUGCAUAAUAAAGUACAGUAUAUUGGAUUACAGAGGAAGCCAAUAAUAUUGAAAUAAUUAUAAGAUGUUUAACUUUUUUUUUUUUUUACUUGAGGAAGAGUUGCCCUGAACUAACAUCUGUGCCAGUCUUCCUCUAUCUUGUAUGUGGGUUGCUGCCACAGCAUGGCAACCAGCAAGAGGGGAAGAGGCUGCUUUGGAAUUGUCUGAAAGUGGAUUUAGUAUCCAAGCUGGUCUACAUCCACCACAUUUGGUACGUUAUUAGGAGCUCAAUAACAGAAUGCAUGAAUGCACCUUUUUCAUAAGGGAUUCACAAUUUUAGAGAACAUUCAUCAAGGUACAACAUGAAAGACAGAACAACAUAGUAGGGACUAACUAUAGAACUCUAUUUACUCUAUAAAUGAACAGAUUGGAGGGGUUGUUUGUAACCCAAGUAGUGUCUCUUGUAGAUAGAAUUAAAGAGUAGAGCUUAGCAUCUUCAAGUGGUCCCAGUGGUGUGCAACCUCCAUGAGGGAGGGAUUUUUGUCUGUUUUGUUCACUGUAUCUGAUGUAUUCCAAAAGCCUAGGAAAGUGCCUGGCAUACUCAGUUUAUCCUCACCUGGUCAGCUUCAAAUCUGUGGUACCUCUGUUUCUCAACGCUACUCAAACAUUUCAUUGUUAACCUACCUCCAACUGUAGAAAUUAAAAAUACCUCUUCUUCCUUAGUAGACAUUCAAUAAGUGAAUGAAGAGGAAUAUUCAGUUUCAACAGAAAGCUAAUAAGUACUGCCAUAAGUAUAUAUUUAGCAACCAUUUUCAUUAGGAACCACCUCCAUUUUAAAAUUAAGGCACAAAUCUGCCCAGGGUCACACAUUAACAAGUAGAGGAAUUGAGAAUAGAACCCAGGAUUGUUCAACCUUUAAAAUCUGCUACACAAGAACUACUGUAUCCUUUACUUUAGGGGAAACAAAAAAGGAAACAAAGUAAAUGUCCCAGACUUAAGUAUCUCCAUUUGGCCAAGACUACAAAUGUAGUCUUUUUCCCACAUUUCCCAAAGAGACACAGUUAUGGGAAACUAAGACCGGAUGAUGAAAUAAAAGUUCCGUAACUAUUUAAAGCACAUUUAUAAAAGUCUUAUUUGAAAAUAUAUAGUAUUUUUAAAACUUGAUGGAUAAGCUGUAGUUUAUCCUGUAAUAAUUUUCUCUGCUUUGCCUUCACAAUAUGCUUGGUAUCUUUUUUGCUUUUCUAUUCUACCCUCCAAGAACAUUUCAGGGUUUCUGGGGUUUGUGUUGGUAAUUUACAGCUAAA